GUACUACUGAAGAGUCUCAAACUGGGACGAAACAGCUGUUCAGUAC
rfam:Trichobilharzia regenti genome assembly, scaffold: TRE_scaffold0043862